GACUAACGCUAGCGGCAGGCAUAAUACAUGCAAGUCGAACGGCAGCACAGUUCUCAAUACUGGUUGGCGAGUGGCGCACGGGUGCGUAACACGUAAGUAACCUACCCUUUACUGGCGAAUAACUUCAAGAAACUAGGGCUAAUACCCGGUAGUAUUACAUGCGGCCUUCUAUUUGUUAUUAAAUUUCUUUCGGUAUAGAUUGGGUCGGCGUCUCAUUAGUUAGUUGUUAAGUUAACGGCUUCCCAGGACGAUGAUGGGUAGGGGAUCGGAGGGGACUUACCCCCACACGGGUACUGAGACACGGACCAGACUCCUACGGGAGGCAGCAGUAAGGAAUAUAGGGCAAGGGCCGCGAGGCUGACCCAGCCAUGCCGCGUGCAGGAAGACGGCCUUAUGGGUUGUAAACUGCUUUUAUACGGGAAUAAUAGAGUGUACGCGUACAUUUAUGCAAGUAUCGUAUGAAUAAGCAUCGGCUAACUCCGUG
rnacentral:rRNA from 1 species